UACGUAGGGUGCGAGCGUUAAUCGGAAUUACUGGGCGUAAAGCGUGCGCAGGCGGUUUUGUAAGACAGAUGUGAAAUCCCCGGGCUCAACCUGGGAACUGCAUUUGUGACUGCAUCGCUAGAGUACGGCAGAGGGGGAUGGAAUUCCGCGUGUAGCAGUGAAAUGCGUAGAUAUGCGGAGGAACACCGAUGGCGAAGGCAAUCCCCUGGGCCUGUACUGACGCUCAUGCACGAAAGCGUGGGGAGCAAACAGG
rnacentral:rRNA from 1 species